rnacentral:rRNA from 1 species
GGUGAACGCUGGCGGCGUGCCUAAUACAUGCAAGUCGAGCGAACAGACGAGGAGCUUGCUCCUCUGACGUUAGCGGCGGACGGGUGAGUAACACGUGGAUAACCUACCUAUAAGACUGGGAUAACUUCGGGAAACCGGAGCUAAUACCGGAUAAUAUAUUGAACCGCAUGGUUCAAUAGUGAAAGACGGUUUUGCUGUCACUUAUAGAUGGAUCCGCGCCGCAUUAGCCAGUUGGUAAGGUAACGGCUUACCAAGGCAACGAUGCGUAGCCGACCUGAGAGGGUGAUCGGCCACACUGGAACUGAGACACGGUCCAGACUCCUACGGGAGGCAGCAGUAGGGAAUCUUCCGCAAUGGGCGAAAGCCUGACGGAGCAACGCCGCGUGAGUGAUGAAGGUCUUCGGAUCGUAAAACUCUGUUAUUAGGGAAGAACAAAUGUGUAAGUAACUAUGCACGUCUUGACGGUACCUAAUCAGAAAGCCACGGCUAACUACGUG